UGUUUAUAUUUUUUAGAAAAAAAUUUCCUAACUUACCUUUUGAUCCAAUUAUUCUUACCCUGAGAAGAGAGAGAACAAACAAACAUUUAUGUUCUAAAGAUGGCUUAAUGUGAUUUAUUUUGUUUACUUACAGAUGAAGUUCCUCCAUUGGAGGAUAUGUCAGAAAUCUUACAACAAGCAGAAGUCAUCAGGUCAAAGGUUAAUAGUUCACAGGGUAAACAGUCUGUUGACCCCAGCCCCAGGGGAGCAGUUCCACAGAAGGGUCAGGGUACUGAGAAACCAAAGGAAAAAUCAUCAGAUACUCAAAAGGUAAAACCAGCCGAGAAAAAUGUACACCCUCAAAAUCUUCAUCCAGUUUUGGGGGGUUCAAAAAAGGAUUUUUAUUCGGAGGAAACAGUUCUUUAAAGUCAGACUCAAAGGGAACAAGUUCAUCUUCCUCUGAAUCAGGUGCUAAGCAGAGUACGUCUGACCUUCCCUAUAUAACCAAGCAGUCUACCAGUGAAAGUCGUGAACUCCCAGAGGUUCAACAACCAUUGUCUGCAGAGGCUCAGAAAAUAGCACAAAACAAAGAUGAGUGGUUGACUGAUGGCCUGAUGAA